rnacentral:rRNA from 1 species
UACGGAGGGGGCUAGCGUUGUUCGGAAUUACUGGGCGUAAAGCGCACGUAGGCGGACUGUUAAGUCGGGGGUGAAAUCCUGGGGCUCAACCUCAGAAUUGCCUCCGAUACUGGGAGUCUUGAGUUCGGGAGAGGUGAGUGGAACUGCGAGUGUAGAGGUGAAAUUCGUAGAUAUUCGCAAGAACACCAGUGGCGAAGGCGGCUCACUGGCCCGAUACUGACGCUGAGGUGCGAAAGCGUGGGGAGCAAACAGG